rnacentral:rRNA from 1 species
CUACGGGAGGCUCCAGUGGGGAAUAUUGCACAAUGGGCGCAAGCCUGAUGCAGCCAUGCCGCGUGUAUGAAGAAGGCCUUCGGGUUGUAAAGUACUUUCAGCGGGGAGGAAGGGAGUAAAGUUAAUACCUUUGCUCAUUGACGUUACCCGCAGAAGAGGCACCGGCUAACUCCGUGCCAGCAGCCGCGGUAAUACGGAGGGUGCAAGCGUUAAUCGGAAUUACUGGGCGUAAAGCGCACGCAGGCGGUUUGUUAAGUCAGAUGUGAAGUCCCCGGGCUCAACCUGGGAACUGCAUCUGAUACUGGCAAGCUUGAGUCUCGUAGAGGGGGGUAGAAUUCCAGGUGUAGCGGUGAAAUGCGUAGAGAUCUGGAGGAAUACCGGUGGCGAAGGCGGCCCCCUGGACGAAGACUGACGCUCAGGUGCGAAAGCGUGGGGAGCAAACAGGAUUAGAUACCCUAGUAGUC